CACGUAGGUAACCUACCCUCAGGACUGAGAUGACCCCGGGAAACUGGGGCUAAUAUUAGAUAGAUAAAAGAUACUGGAAUGUUCUUUUAUCCAAAGCUUUUGCGCCUGAGGAUGGGCCUGCGUCCGAUUAGGUUGUUGGUGGGGUAAUGGCCCACCAAGCCUACGAUCGGUACGGGCAGUGAGAGCUGAAGCCCGGAGUUGGGGACUGAGACAAGGCCCCAGGCCCUACGGGGCGCAGCAGGCGCGAAACCUCUGCAAUGCGGGAAACCGUGACAGGGGGAUCCCAAGUGCUCAUGCAUUGCAUGGGCUGUUCUUUGGUCUAAGUAACCAGAGGAGUAAGGGCUGGGCAAGACCGGUGCCAGCCGCCGCGGUAAUACCGGCAGCUCAAGUGGUAGCCGCGAUUAUUGGGCCUAAAGCGUUCGUAGCCGGAUAAGUAAGUCUUUGGUUAAAUCCUGCGACUUAACCGUGGGAAAUCUAGAGAUACUGCUUGUCUUGAGACCGGGAGAGGUUGGAGGUACUCCCAGGGUAGGGGUGAAAUCCUGUAAUCCUGGGGGGACCACCUGUGGCGAAGGCGUCCAACUGGAACGGG
rnacentral:rRNA from 1 species